rnacentral:rRNA from 1 species
AACGAACGCUGGCGGCGUGGCUGAGACAUGCAAGUCGCACGGAACUGCUUUUGGGUAACUGAGAACAGUUUAGUGGCGAAAGGGUGAGUAAUGCAUGGGUAACGUACCCCGGGCACCGGGAUAGCAGCGUCUGCUUCGGCAGACUACCGAAAGGGCUGGUAAUACCGGAUGUGGUCAGGAACACUGCGGUGUUUUUGAUCAAAGGUUGGGGAUCCGCUUCGGCGGACCUAAUGGCCUGGGAGCGGCCCAUGUUCCAUCAGCUAGUUGGUAAGGUAACGGCUUACCAAGGCUGCGACGGAUACCGGGGCUGAGAGGCCGAUCCGGCACAUUGGGACUGAGACACUGCCCAGACCCCCACGGGGGGCUGCAGUAACGAAUCUUCCGCAAUGGGCGCAAGCCUGACGGAGCGACGCCGCGUGUGGGAUGAAUUCCCUCGGGAUGUAAACCACUGUCAGGGUUAUGGAAACAAACCGCAGUAAUAUAGCGGGGCGUAGACCUAG